CAAAAGUUUGGUCCUGACUUUACUAUCAACUGUAGCUAAAUUUACACAUGCAAGUAUCCGCACCCCUGUGAAAAUGCCCUAUCGUUCUCCCACUGAGAAUAAGGAGCUGGUAUCAGGCACAUGCAACCAUCAUAGCCCACGACACCUCGCUUAGCCACACCCCCAAGGGAACUCAGCAGUGAUAAACAUUAAGCAAUAAGUGAAAACUUGACUUAGUUAUGGCUAAAAGGGUCGGUUAAACUCGUGCCAGCCACCGCGGUUAUACGAGAGACCCGAGCUGAUAGUUAAUCGGCGUAAAGAGUGGUUAAGAAAAACUACACACUAAAGCCGAACACUUUCAAAGCUGUUAUACGCACCCGAAAGUAAGAAGCCCAACUACGAAAGUGGCUUUACACCUCUGAGCCCACGAAAGCUAUGAAACAAACUGGGAUUAGAUACCCCACUAUGCCUAGCCCUAAACAUUAAUAGCACUUUACAUCCGCUAUUCGCCCGGGUACUACAAGCAUUAGCUUAAAACCCAAAGGACUUGGCGGUGCUUAAGAUCCACCUAGAGGAGCCUGUUCUAGAACCGAUAACCCCCGUUCAACCUCACCCUCUCUUGUUACCCCAGCCUAUAUACCGCCGUCGUCAGCCUACCCUAUGAAGGAAAAAUAGUAAGCAAAAUUGGUACAACCCAAAACGUCAGGUCGAGGUGUAGCGCAUGAAAGGGAAAGAAAUGGGCUACAUUCACUACUGUAGUGAACACGGAUGACACACUGAAACGUGUGUCCGAAGGAGGAUUUAGCAGUAAGCAAAAAAUAGAGUGUUUUGCUGAAACUGGCCCUAAAGCGCGCACACACCGCCCGUCACCCUCCCCCAACACACCCAACUAAAUAUCUAAUACCUGAACUACAACCAAGGGGAGGCAAGUCGUAACAUGGUAAGUGUACCGGAAGGUGUACUUGGAGAAAU
rnacentral:ncRNA from 1 species